rnacentral:rRNA from 1 species
AGAGUUUGAUCAUGGCUCAGGAUGAACGCUAGCUACAAGCUUAACACAUGCAAGUCGAGGGGCAGCAUGUUGGUUGCUUGCAACCAACGAUGGCGACCGGCGCACGGGUGAGUAACGCGUAUCCAACCUACCCUUGUCCAUCGGAUAACCCGUCGAAAGGCGGCCUAACACGAUAUGCGGUUCACAGCAGGCAUCUAACGUGAACGAAAUGUAAAGGAGAAGGAUGGGGAUGCGUCUGAUUAGCUUGUUGGCGGGGUAACGGCCACCAAGGCGACGAUCAGUAGGGGUUCUGAGAGGAAGGUCCCCCACAUUGGAACUGAGACACGGUCCAAACGUCCUACGGGAGGCA